GGCACAUGACCGCCAAAGCAGCUGAUUGGCUGCAGCCGUCACAUAACAUCCACCCAAAAAAGGAAGACCAGGGUGCUGACCUAUUGGAGGAUUAGUGUGGGAUGCAUUUAGGAAAAAAUUUAAAUACUAAAACCUGGAUAACCGCUUUUAUACACCAAAUUUAGUGCCUUUGACUUUGCUACAUUUGUGAUCCGGUGGAGGAUUACUCCAAGGUAAGCACGGUAGAGAACCAGCGGUGCCAUGGAUCCAGGGAUCAUUUCUGAAUCUACUCAGGCCGAGAUCAGUUUAGGUUCCUGGUUGCAGAGUCUAGCCAAGACAUUAUAUUGAUCUCAUUAGUGUGAAUUGUAGUGAUGAGACGCCACCCCCUCUUUCUGCAAAGCCAGUUGAUUCAUGAGAAACAUAGGCAACAUGAUAAGAUCAUUUCUGUUCUCAAUCAAGAAUCACUGAAUCCAUGCCUACCUUAUCAACUAAAAACAGGCGAUUUGUCACCGAGGCGCAGGAUUCCCCCCGCACAGAAUGUCUGGUUUGCAUUCUACAAAUACUGAGCUGCUAAGAAUGAAGGAGAUGAAGAAUGGAUGGUAUUACCAGUGAUGUGCGGAGUUCCUCCCAGUGCUGCUGCCGCACAGCUGCAUCCAUACCGUUUAUUGCUGUAACUGGGUCACAUGAUCACCAGUCUGACCCACGGAGCAUCACAGUGCUUAAUGUAUGCUAGAAGAGUGGAGCUGUGACAGGUAAACAAUAAUUGUGCCUGGUAUUAUGGCUCAGUCUCAAUCACUUGACUGGCACUGAACUGCUCUGGAGCUGCAGUACCAGGAGCAGCCACUACAAGAUGUGUGGCGCUAUGCCUGGUAAACAGUGUUUGCCUGGUUUUAUGGCUUAGUAUCAAUCACUUGACUGGGACUGAAUUUCUCUGGAGCUGCAGUACCAGGAACAGCCAUUACAAGAUGUGUGGCGCUAUGCCUGGUAAACAGUGUUUGUGCCUGGUUUUAUGGCUCAGUAUCAAUCACUUGACUGGGACUGAACUUCUCUGGAGCUGCAGUACCAGGAACAGCCACUACAAGAGGUGUGGAGCUAUGCCUGGUAAACAGGGUAAGUGGUACUCGCUAAAACGCCAUGGCCUCUGCAACCAGCCAAUUGGAUGGGGUGGCAGGAGUUGGACCCCAACCUAGCUGAUUUUGAUGGUCUGUAAUCAAUAUUGUAGAAUUUGAAGACCCCUUAAAGCAAUCGGUGUGGUAGAUAUGGACGAUUCCCCCUUCUUUUGCACCCAGCUGUGAUAAAUGGAACAGAUAACAAAGGGCCUAUGUCAGAUUUCUUCAAGACAAGUCUGCAUCCAGCUCUUUUGUACUGCCUAAACCAAGAAAAGCAGCUGUCACACAGCAAUAACUUAGGUCACAAAGGUCUGUGGCAAUGAAAAGAUGGUGGGCCAUAAGAUAACAAAGGGGCCAUGUCAGAUUUAUUCAAGACAAAUCUGUAUCCUAUUGUACUGCCUGAACCAAGAUAGGCAGCUGUCACACAA